UCCGAUAUGGUGUAGUGGCCAACAUGAUGCCCUCUCACCUCGGCGAGAGGUUAGGCAUAGCCCCGAGUUCGAUUCUCGGUUUCGGAA
rnacentral:tRNA from 1 species